CAUUUGGAGAACGAAAGAAGACCAACAAGUGCGCG
rnacentral:sRNA from 1 species